rnacentral:rRNA from 1 species
GACGAACCACACUAACGUUAUUCGGAAUCACUGGGCUUAAAGGGUGCGUAGGCUGCGCAGAAAGUUGGGUGUGAAAUCCCUCGGCUCAACCGAGGAACUGCGCCCAAAACUACUGUGCUCGAGGGAGAUAGAGGUGAGCGGAACUUAGGGUGGAGCGGUGAAAUGCGUUGAUAUCCUAAGGAACACCCGUGGCGAAAGCGGCUCACUGGAUCUCUUCUGACGCUGAGGCACGAAAGCUAGGGUAGCGAACGGG